rnacentral:rRNA from 1 species
GACAAACGCUGGCGGCAUGCCUAACACAUGCAAGUCGAACGGACAGAACAGGGAAGCUUUUCGGAGUGGAACUGGAAAGUUAGUGGCGGAUGGGUGAGUAACGCGUGGACAACCUACCUUGUAAAGGGGAAUAACCUCGAGAAAUCGAAGCUAAUACCCCAUAACAACCUUGCUUCGCAUGAAGUAAGGAGGAAAGGCGGCCUUAGCGCUGUCGAUACAAGAUGGGUCCGCGUCUGAUUAGCUAGUUGGUGAGGUAAAGGCUCACCAAGGCGACGAUCAGUAGCCGGCCUGAGAGGGUGAACGGCCACAUUGGGACUGAGACACGGCCCAAACUCCUACGGGAGGCAGCAGUGGGGAAUCUUCCGCAAUGGGCGAAAGCCUGACGGAGCAAUGCCGCGUGAGUGAAGAAGGCCUUCGGGUUGUAAAACUCUGUCCUUAUCGAAGAGAGAGUGUUGUAGUAACUGACAAUACUAGGACGGUAGAUGAGGAGGAAGCCCCGGCUAACUAUGUG